rnacentral:rRNA from 1 species
UACGUGGGGUGCGAGCGUUGUUCGGAAUUACUGGGCGUAAAGCGUGUGUAGGCGGCUCGCUAAGUCUGAUGUGAAAUCUCUGGGCUUAACCCAGAAACUGCAUCGGAAACUAGCGGGCUAGAAUUCGGGAGAGGGUCGUGGAAUUCCUGGUGUAGAGGUGAAAUUCGUAGAUAUCAGGAGGAACACCGGUGGCGAAGGCGGCGACCUGGACCGACAUUGACGCUAAUACACGAAAGCGUGGGGAGCAAACAGG